GCCCGGGUCCCAGUCUCUGUGGCGUCCUGAUGGCCGCAGAUUCCAAUGUGUGUGCCAAUUUUCAAGAGUUUUUGAGCAUGUUAAGGCCCCCAAAAACCCCCGGAAGGUUUAAUAAAAAAUAAAAAAAAUAAUAAUAAUAAUAAUAAGAAAAAGAAUAAUCCUUAGGGGAACAAUAGGGCUCUUCGCCCCUUCGGGCUUGAGCCCUAAUAAUAAUAAACGGAGCAAUUCCAAUAGGGUCCUCACACCAUCGGUGCUCGGGCCCUAAUAAUAAUUAAAGCUGCAAGCAGCGAUGAACGGGCCCUCGCACCCGGGCUCACCGCCAUCGUGUUGCUUUAGUAAAAAGGUGAAUGUUGAGAAAUAUGCAUUUAAUGUCCUAAAUAUAAGUGGAAUAUAUCAAAGUAUAUCCCAUAUAUGUGCCAAUCUUACCGUUGCCAGCAGGUGGCGCUAUCAUUAUAAUGGAAUAUUGGCCUUCAGAUGUGUUCAGGCCAGGACUCUUAUCGAACAUGUGAAGUUUGGGGAAGAUUGAACAUUUUAUGCUUGAGUUACAACAACUUCUCUUGCUGUGGCAAGACAUCAAAUUUUGUCAUGGCGCCAUGGAAACGCCCUUUAACAAAAACUCAGGAUCUCCAAAAGUUAACAUUGCACAGGCCUUUAGAUUAGACUGACCACAAAAUAUAUGUUAAUCUCAAAAAAAUUAUAGGAGUAGUUUGUUGCAGCGUAAAACAUGUCACUUCCUGUUGCCAAUAGGUGGCGCUAUGACUAUAACUGAAUGUGGGCAUGUAGAUCUGUUAAGGGCAAAAGUUUUAUCUAACAUGUGAAGUUUGGGGCAGAUUGGACAUUGUAUGUCUGAGUUACAGCAACUUCCUUUUUCAUGGCGAAACAUCGAAAUUUGUCAGGCCACCAUGGACACGCCCUUUAACGAAAUCUAAAGAUCUUCGCAAUUUAACAUCGCAAAGGGCUUAAGAUUACACUGACCAGGUUUGGUGUUGAUCUGAAUAAAUCUCUAGGAGGAGUUCGUUAAAGUACAACCCCUGAAAAUGGCAAAAACAACGCCAAUUUUGCAGAGAAAAUUCUAAAUAACCGACUUCCUGUUGGGAUUCGGAUUUCGUACCAAGAGACUUUUUUGUAGGUAUUGCUGUGUUACAUGUGUAUACCGAUUUUUGUACAUGUACGUGAAACAUAGCUCGAGGCGCACUCUGUUGAAUGUGUAUAGGUGGCGCUAUCGAGCCAUUUUGCCACAUCUGAUGGAAUUUUGGCCUUCAGAUGUGUUCAGGCCAGGACUCUUAUCACACAUGUGCAGUUUGGGGAACAUCGGACAUUUUAUGCCUGAGUUAUAAUAUAUUUUAUUCCCAUGGCGAGACAUCGAACUUCGUGACGGCGCCAUGGACACGCCUUUUAACGAAAACUCAAGAUCUUCACAACUUAACAUCGCACAGGGCUUUAGAUUACACUGACCACAAAAAAUACAUUGAUGUCAUAAAAUUUCUAGGAGUAGUUCAUCGCAGUGUAAAAUAUCUCACUUCCUGUUGCCAAUAGGUGGCGCUAUUACUCUAACUGUAUAUGGGCAUGUCAAUCUGUUCAGGUCAGGAGUCUCAUCAAACAUGUGAAGUUUGGGGCAGAUUGGUCAUUGUAUGUCUGAGUUAUAGCAACUUCCUGUUUCAUGGCGAAUCAUCGAAAUUCGCCAGGCCGCCACACACAGGCCCUUCAACGAAAACUCAAAAGCUUCGCAAUUUAACAUCGCAAAGGCCUUCAGAUUAGGCAUACCAAAUUUGGUGUUGAUCUGAAUGAAUCUCUAGGAGGAGUUCGUUAAAAUACAACGCAUGGAAAUGACAAAAAUGACACAAAAUUUGCUCAUAAUAUUAGAAAUAACCGACUUCCUGUUGGGUUUCGGAUUUUGCUCCAAGAGACUUUUUUGUAGGUAUUGGAGAGUUACAUGUGUAUACCGAUUUUCAUACAUGUACAUGAAACGUAGCUCGAGGCGCACACCGUUGAACGUGUAUAGGUGGCGCUGUUGAGCCAUUUUGGCACACCCACUUCUGAAACCCAUAUCAGACGUAAAUUUUCGCCAGUUCUGAGGUGUGUGCAAAGUUUCAUGACUUUUCGAGCAUGUUUAGGCCCUCAAAAAUGCGAUUCAUCUUAGAGAAGAAGAAUAAUAAUAAUAAAUAUAGCUGCAAGCAGCGAUGGCGGGCUCAAGCCACCAAUGCCAUCACCACCCCGGUGGCAUCAGGUAAACUGUGCCCAGCGGGCACAUGCAUUCACAAUAUCCCUCUGGCAGUGAGGUUUUAAAGGAUAGAGGGGAGCGUGCAUUUGCAGUGCCUGGGCCACGACUCUGGAAUACCCUGCCUUUAGAGAUCAGACUGGCCCCUUCCUUGUCUAUUUUUAAAUCUUUGCUAAAAACUUUUUUAUUUUCCUUAGUGUACUGACUACUGUGUUAUGCUACAUUUUGAAAUGGGUGGUUUUAAAUUUUUUGUCUGGUCUAUUUUUAUGUAUGUGUAAUAUUCUUGCUCUUAUGUUAAAGCACUUUGGUCAGCCAGGAGGCUGUUGUAAAUGCGCUAUACAAAUAAAUUGAACUUGAACUUGAUAUGGCAGUUAAAGGGUUAAUCCGAAUCAUCUAGACUUUAAAAUCACAUUCACAGAACAAUAUAUAUAUAUAUAUAUAUAUAUAUAACUUUAGUAACACUUUACAAUAAGAUUUCAUUUAUAAACAUUAUGUUAACAUGAACAAUAUUUAUAUAGCAUUCAUUCAUGUCAGUUAAUAUUCCAAACUUAAACAUUAAAACAUUGUUUUAUUGUGAUUUUUUUCCAAGCACAUUUUACCAAUUCCAAACCAUAUCAAUCUUAAUAACUACCAUUAUUUUUUAUUUAAUCAUUUAUGAGUGCUAUACAAUAGUCCAGGAAAGCUGGAAGAGAAAAACAGGUCAAGAAGAACUGACAAAAGAAUCGCAAAAGAAUUAGGAAUUAAUGUGAAGAUUAAUUUUUAGUCAAUUCUGCAAGACAGACUUUCAGGAAAGGAGGUGGAAUAAAAAUGAGCUCCUAAAUCUUAAUCCCAGAUUCUGGAAGAUAUAUUCCUCAAACCAUCGGACAAGAGAAGGUG